rnacentral:rRNA from 1 species
UUCGCCCUUUUACCGGUGCGGGCCGUGAGAGCGGGAGCCCGGAGAUGGGCACUGAGACAAGGGCCCAGGCCCUACGGGGCGCAGCAGUCGCGAAAACUUUGCAAUACACGAAAGUGUGACAAGGCUAUCCCGAGUGCCAUCCGCUGAGGAAGGCUUUUACCCAGUAUAAAUAGCUGGGAGAAUAAGGAGAGGGCAAGUCUGGUGUCAGCCGCCGCGGUAAUACCAGCUCUCCGAGUAGUGUGGAUGUUUAUUGGGCCUAAAGCAUCCGUAGCUUGCUAGGCAAGUCCCCUGUUAAAUCCACCGAUUCAAUCGAUGGUUUGCGGGGGAUACUGUUUGGCUAGGGGACGGGAGAGGUCGACGGUAUUUCCGGGGUAGGGGUGAAAUCCUAUAAUCCCGGGAGGACCACCAGUGGCGAAGGCUGUCGACUAGAACGCGCCCGACGG